GGGUUGUCAGGACUGUCAGGGAUGUCAGGGAUGUCAGGAGUGUCAGGGUUGUCAGUGAUGUCAGGGUUGUCAGGACUGUCAGUGAUGUCAGGGUUGUCAGUGAUGUCAGGGUUGUCAGGGAUGUCAGGAGUGUCAGGGUUGUCAGGAGUGUCAGUGAUGUCAGUGAUGUCAGGGAUGUCAGGAGUGUCAGGGAUGUCAGGACUGUCAGGGUUGUCAGGACUGUCAGGGUUGUCAGUGAUGUCAGGAGUGUCAGGGAUGUCAGGGAUGUCAGGACUGUCAGGGUUGUCAGUGAUGUCAGUGAUGUCAGGGUUGUCAGUGAUGUCAGGGUUGUCAGUGAUGUCAGGAGUGUCAGUGAUGUCAGGAGUGUCAGGGAUGUCAGGAGUGUCAGGGAUGUCAGGGUUGUCAGUGAUGUCAGGAUUGUCAGGGUUGUCAGUGAUGUCAGGAGUGUCAGUGAUGUCAGGAGUGUCAGGGAUGUCAGGAGUGUCGGGGUUGUCAGUGAUGUCAGGGUUGUCAGUGAUGUCAGUGAUGUCAGGAGUGUCAGGGUUGUCAGGGAUGUCAGGAGUGUCAGGGAUGUCAAGAGUGUCAAGGAUGUCAGGGUUGUCAGGAUUGUCAGUGAUGUCAGGAGUGUCAGGGAUGUCAGGGAUGUCAGUGAUGUCAGGGUUGUCAGUGAUGUCAGGGUUGUCAGUGAUGUCAGGAGUGUCAGUGAUGUCAGGGUUGUCAGGAGUGUCAGGGAUGUCAGGGUUGUCAGGGAUGUCAGGACUGUCAGGGUUGUCAGGGUUGUCAGUGAUGUCAGGAGUGUCAGGGAUGUCAGGAGUGUCAGGGAUGUCAGGAGUGUCAGGGAUGUCAGGGGUGUCAGGGAUGUCAGGGUUGUCAGGACUGUCAGGGUUGUCAGUGAUAUCAGUGAUGUCAGGAGUGUCAGGAGUGUCAGGGAUGUCAGGAGUGUCAGGGAUGUCAGGAGUGUCAGGACUGUCAGCGUUGUCAGGGAUGUCAGGUGAUCACUAAUUGCCAGGGUUGUUAGGACUUGUCGGGAAAAAGAAUAAAUAAAAUAAAAGUAUGAUGACAAGUGAGAUGAAGACAUGUUUAGGCUUGCCUAAGUUGCAGCACAAACCAAGUUGAUUUUGUCAGUACCUGACAAAUACGAUUAGCAAUUGAUAUGAAUACCAAAUCUUGCAUGGUAUCG